rnacentral:tRNA from 1 species
UCCCUGGUUGCUCAGAUGGUAAAGAAUCUGCCUUCAGUGCAGAAGACCCGGGUUCAACCCCUGGGCAGGAAG